rnacentral:rRNA from 1 species
UACGUAGGGCGCAAGCGUUGUCCGGAAUUAUUGGGCGUAAAGAGCUCGUAGGCGGUCUGUUGCGUCCGCUGUGAAAACCCGGGGCUUAACCCCUGGCUUGCAGUGGAUACGGACAGACUAGAGGUAGGUAGGGGAGAAUGGAAUUCCCGGUGUAGCGGUGAAAUGCGCAGAUAUCGGGAGGAACACCGGUGGCGAAGGCGGUUCGCUGGGCCUGACCUGACGCUGAGGAGCGAAAGCGUGGGGAGCGAACAGG